GUGCCAGCCGCCGCGGUAAGACGAACCGAGCGAACGUUAUUCGGAAUCACUGGGCUUAAAGGGCGCGUAGGCGGGCCUGAAAGUCAGGGGUGAAAGCCCCCAGCUCAACUGGGGAAGUGCCUCUGAUACUUCAGGCCUCGAGGGAGGUAGGGGCGUGCGGAACUUCCGGUGGAGCGGUGAAAUGCGUAGAUAUCGGAAGGAACGUCGGUGGCGAAAGCGGCGCGCUGGACCUCUUCUGACGCUGAGGCGCGAAAGCCAGGGGAGCGAACGGGAUUAGAUACCCCGGUAGUCCUGGCCCUAAACGUUGGGCACUAGGCCGUGGGCUUACGUGGGCUCACAGCCGGAGCGAAAGUGUUAAGUGCCCCGCCUGGGGAGUAUGGUCGCAAGGCUGAA
rnacentral:rRNA from 1 species